rnacentral:lncRNA from 1 species
AAGGUUAUACCUCGGUGCUCAAGCUAGCAAGCAAAGCAAAAUCAAGUUCACAAUGGAACUAUAGCAACUAAGGUACCUGAAAACAAUCCAAUAUCAUCAGUACGCAACUCAAACAAAAGUCAAACAGACAGUUACAAGUCAACAGACAACUGUACAUAAACAGACAAACAAACAUCAAUGCACAAAGGUGCAAGCCACAAGGCCUAAGCUCAAGUCUCAAUGCCUACAAAACAAGCUCAAAGCUAGUCAUAAACAAGCAAUAAAC